GGCAGCAUGGUGCAGUGGUUCAGCACAUCUCCUACCUACAAUUUGGGCACGAGUCGACACCUUGGAGUCCUCGUUGCGGGUCUUGGUACCCUCGCUGGCGAUCAAUUGGAAAGGAUGAAGGUCCUUGGUUCGAAUCCAAGUGCUGCUA